UACAGAGGGGGGCAAGCGUUUGUUCGGAAUUACUGGGCGUAAAGGGCGCGUAGGCGGCCUGCUAAGUCGAACGUGAAAUCCCUGGGCUCAACCCGGGAACUGCGUCCGAUACUGGAAGGCUUGAAUCCGGGAGAGGGAUGCGGAAUUCCAGGUGUAGCGGUGAAAUGCGUAGAUAUCUGGAGGAACACCGAUGGCGAAGGCAGCCUUCUGGGCCAACACUGACACUCAUGCACGAAAGCGUGGGGAGCAAACAGG
rnacentral:rRNA from 1 species